AUGGAGUCACAAACUCAAGUUCUCAUGUCCUUGCUGCUCUGGGUGUCUGGUAUCUGUGGGGACAUCUUGAUGACCCAGUCUCCAUCCUCCCUGGCUGUGUCAGCAGGAGAAAAGGUCACCCUCAACUGCAAGUCCAGUCAGAGUCUGUUUGGCAGAAAUAGCAAGAACUACUUGAACUGGUACCAGCAGAAACCAGGGCAGGCUCCUAAACGUCUGAUCUACUGGGCAUCCACUCGGGACACUGGGGUCCCUGAUCGCUUCACAGGCAGUGGGUCUGGGACAGAUUACACUCUCACCAUCAGCAGUGUCCAGGCUGAAGACCUGGCAGAUUACUACUGUAUUCAGCUACACAAUUUGUAUUUUUAUGGUUCUGGAGUUCUGGUGUCCUACAUAUGA